CGGAAACACUGGGAUGUCUGUGAUGGAGGAAACACAUAAAAUCUAGGAUGAAAGGGUCCCUGUAUGAAAGACUUCACUUGUGUGUUGGGCAGUGUGGUGUUUGUGGAGGACACGGGCAGGGCUCUUGGACAUGUUCACGACACUCGCUGUGACCUGUAAUGUCAUUGGACGGAGGGCCAUUGGUGUCUUCUGAGUAGUGCGAGUUAUAACUGUUUGUGGAAGUGGGAGCCUGUCUGUGUAAGUGAACACCUGAGCCAUACACAUACAUCUAUAUUUUCACUUUUAUUAGGUGUGUAGAUAGAUUAUACAACAAAAUGAAUACUAUCCCCAAACAUAUUAUACAUGUUGAAUGGCGAGGGUUGAAUGAAAAGUAAUGCCUCCACCUUCGUAACUCCUCAAGAGAUGGCAGUCCUGCUCUGCGGCAGGUCUUGGCUUGUUCAGUAGACUCUCCUCUACCGUUCCAUUUGGCGGGAAGCCUUAGCAUUGAACGGUUGUGUUGUUAAAGUGCGAAGUAUGGAACCCUGCACAGACGGUCGGUCAAUGUGACUUAAGCAACGUGCAGUCACUGAGUUAUUGAGAGCAGAAGGUGUCACCCCAAAGGAGAUUCAACUGUUUAUGGUUGUGAAGGCAUGCUGGGGGUAAAUGGCUAUCUCUAGGUCUGGCUACCCAAGCGGCUUCGGUAUACCUUAUAACUAUACCUCAAACCCCAAAGUAAAUACUCUAGAAGCUGAUUAAAGAUAACCAAAAUUAUGUUUAUUGAAAACAGGAAACAGUCCUUUUAAUGUAUUAGAAAUAAUAUGAGGUAAAAUCACUGAAAUUAUACAGAAAUAAAACUAUAUUGAUUGAGAAUGAAAGCUAUAGAGACUAUAAAAGAUAAACACACAAGCUAUGAGGAAAUUGUAAGGCAAGGACUAUAGGGUAUGUACAAGGCUAUGAUAAGCACUAUCUAUGACUCUGAGGUAAACUAUAAGCUCUAACUAUGAAGAAACUAUAAACUAUCUAUAAUGGUUAUGAGGUAAACUAUGAAGUGGUAAGUACAAGGUGAACUAUAAGCUUUGCUAUCUUUGAGGUAAAUACCUAAAGCUAUGAUGUGACUAUAAGGUAAGUACAUAAGGUAAGUACAAGGCUAUGAGGUAAGCUAUGAGGCUAUGAGGUAAACUGGAAGGUAAGUACAUAAAGCUAUGGUGGUAAGUACAAGGUGAACUAUAAGCUUUGCUAUCUUUGAGGUAAAUACUACUAUGAGGUAUACUAUCUAAGCUAUAGGUAAGUACAAGGCUAUGAGGUAAACUGGAAGGUAAGUACAUAAAGCUAUGGUGGUAAGUACAAGGUGAACUAUAAGCUUUGCUAUCUUUGAGGUAAAUACUACUAUGAGGUAUACUAUCUAAGCUAUAGGUAAGUACAAGGCUAUGAGGUAAACUGGAAGGUAAGUACAUAAAGCUAUGGUGGUAAGUACAAGGUGAACUAUAAGCUUUGCUAUCUUUGAGGUAAAUACUACUAUGAGGUAUACUAUCUAAGCUAUAGGUAAGUACAAGGCUAUGAGGUAAACUGGAAGGUAAGUACAUAAAGCUAUGGUGGUAAGUACAAGGUGAACUAUAAGCUUUGCUAUCUUUGAGGUAAAUACUACUAUGAGGUAUACUAUCUAAGCUAUAGGUAAGUACAAGGCUAUGAGGUAAACUGGAAGGUAAGUACAUAAAGCUAUGGUGGUAAGUACAAGGUGAACUAUAAGCUUUGCUAUCUUUGAGGUAAAUACUACUAUGAGGUAUACUAUCUAAGCUAUAGGUAAGUACAAGGCUAUGAGGUAAACUGGAAGGUAAGUACAUAAAGCUAUGGUGGUAAGUACAAGGUGAACUAUAAGCUUUGCUAUCUUUGAGGUAAAUACUACUAUGAGGUAUACUAUCUAAGCUAUAGGUAAGUACAAGACUAUGAGGUAAACUGGAAGGUAAGUACAUAAAGCAAUGGUGGUAAGUACAAGGUGAACUAUAAGCUUUGCUAUCUUUGAGGUAAAUACUUUACUAUGAGGUAUACUAUCUAAGCUAUAGGUAAGUACAAGGCUAUGAGGUAAACUGGAAGGUAAGUACAUAAAGCUAUGGUGGUAAGUACAAGGUGAACUAUAAGCUUUGCUAUCUUUGAGGUAAAUACUACUAUGAGGUAUACUAUCUAAGCUAUAGGUAAGUACAAGGCUAUGAGGUAAACUGGAAGGUAAGUACAUAAAGCUAUGGUGGUAAGUACAAGGUGAACUAUAAGCUUUGCUAUCUUUGAGGUAAAUACUACUAUGAGGUAUACUAUCUAAGCUAUAGGUAAGUACAAGACUAUGAGGUAAACUGGAAGGUAAGUACAUAAAGCAAUGGUGGUAAGUACAAGGUGAACUAUAAGCUUUGCUAUCUUUGAGGUAAAUACUUUACUAUGAGGUAUACUAUCUAAGCUAUAGGUAAGUACAAGGCUAUGAGGUAAACUGGAAGGUAAGUACAUAAAGCUAUGGUGGUAAGUACAAGGUGAACUAUAAGCUUUGCUAUCUUUGAGGUAAAUACUACUAUGAGGUAUACUAUCUAAGCUAUAGGUAAGUACAAGGCUAUGAGGUAAACUGGAAGGUAAGUACAUAAAGCUAUGGUGGUAAGUACAAGGUGAACUAUAAGCUUUGCUAUCUUUGAGGUAAAUACUACUAUGAGGUAUACUAUCUAAGCUAUAGGUAAGUACAAGGCUAUGAGGUAAACUGGAAGGUAAGUACAUAAAGCUAUGGUGGUAAGUACAAGGUGAACUAUAAGCUUUGCUAUCUUUGAGGUAAAUACUACUAUGAGGUAUACUAUCUAAGCUAUAGGUAAGUACAAGGCUAUGAGGUAAACUGGAAGGUAAGUACAUAAAGCUAUGGUGGUAAGUACAAGGUGAACUAUAAGCUUUGCUAUCUUUGAGGUAAAUACUUUACUAUGAGGUAUACUAUCUAAGCUAUAGGUAAGUACAAGGCUAUGAGGUAAACUGGAAGGUAAGUACAUAAAGCUAUGGUGGUAAGUACAAGGUGAACUAUAAGCUUUGCUAUCUUUGAGGUAAAUACUACUAUGAGGUAUACUAUCUAAGCUAUAGGUAAGUACAAGGCUAUGAGGUAAACUGGAAGGUAAGUACAUAAAGCUAUGGUGGUAAGUACAAGGUGAACUAUAAGCUUUGCUAUCUUUGAGGUAAAUACUACUAUGAGGUAUACUAUCUAAGCUAUAGGUAAGUACAAGGCUAUGAGGUAAACUGGAAGGUAAGUACAUAAAGCUAUGGUGGUAAGUACAAGGUGAACUAUAAGCUUUGCUAUCUUUGAGGUAAAUACUACUAUGAGGUAUACUAUCUAAGCUAUAGGUAAGUACAAGGCUAUGAGGUAAACUGGAAGGUAAGUACAUAAAGCUAUGGUGGUAAGUACAAGGUGAACUAUAAGCUUUGCUAUCUUUGAGGUAAAUACUACUAUGAGGUAUACUAUACUAUCACUCAGAGAGAAAUUUCAAGCAUCAUCGGCAUUUCACAAGAACAUGUGGGUCACAUUAUUGCUUUGCUUGGCUUGUGCACAAUGGGUCCUGUGAGAUGUUGGUCGUGGAAACUGAGUGUCGACUUCUUCCGUGACGGCUUCGGAAAACUUGUUCAUCGUUGGCAGAAAUGUAUCCAAUUGUCUGGUGAUGAUGUGGGAAAGUGAAUAGUGGUCGUUAAAGAGCACAUUCUAAGGAUUA